AAUUUUGGACAAUGGGGGCAACCCUGAUCCAGCCAUCCCGCGUGUGCGAUGAAGGCCUUCGGGUUGUAAAGCACUUUUGGCAGGGAAGAAAAGGCUCUGGCUAAUACUUGGUGCUGCUGACGGUACCUGCAGAAUAAGCACCUGCCAACUACGUUCCAGCAGCCGCGGUAAUACGUAGGGUGCAAGCGUUAAUCGGAAUUCCUGGGCGUAAAGCGUGCGCAGGCGGUUCGGCAAGAAGGAUGUGAAAUCCCAGGGCUUAACCUUGGAACUGCAUUCUUAACUGACGGGCUAGAGUAUGUCAGAGGGGGGUAGAAUUCCGCGUGUAGCAGUGAAAUGCGUAGAGAUGCGGAGGAAUACCGAUGGCGAAGGCAGCCCCCUGGGAUAAUACUGACGCUCAGACACGAAAGCGUGGGGAGCAAACAG
rnacentral:rRNA from 1 species